rnacentral:rRNA from 1 species
GACGAACGCUGGCGGCGUGCCUAAUACAUGCAAGUUGAGCGCUGAAGGUUGGUCCUUGUACCAACUGGAUGAGCAGCGCACGGGUGAGUAACGCGUGGGGAAUCUGCCUUUGAGCGGGGGACAACAUUUGGAAACGAAUGCUAAUACCGCAUAAAAACUUUAAACACAAGUUUUAAGUUUGAAAGAUGCAAUUGCAUCACUCAAAGAUGAUCCCGCGUUGUAUUAGCUAGUUGGUGAGGUAAAGGCUCACCAAGGCGAUGAUACAUAGCCGACCUGAGAGGGUGAUCGGCCACAUUGGGACUGAGACACGGCCCAAACUCCUACGGGAGGCAGCAGUAGGGAAUCUUCGGCAAAGGAAGAAAGUCUGACCGAGCAACGCCGCGUGAGUGAAGAAGGUUUUCGGAUCGUAAAACUCUGUUGGUAGAGAAGAACGUUGGUGAGAGUGGAAAGCUCAUCAAGUGACGGUAACUACCCAGAAAGGGACGGCUAACUACGUG